GUUUAGAUGUAAGAGCUGGCAAAUACGAUGGAUUUGGCAGAUCAGUUCUUUCUGCCUCAAAGGAUUAACUACUAUUCUUUUUGUUCAUCACAUUGAGUUGUUUGUGAUAAUACACUUGCAUUAUAUAAUAAUGUGUCUGAGUUUUUCUUUCCCUCCCUUGGUUUUAGCUUGGGUAUUACCCAUUGUUGUGCUGCCAUGGAUAUGAC